GGUCCUCCCCUCAUGGUCGUAUGAGCCAUCGAUACAAGGAUUGCUUCUGUUUCGCCCUGAUGAAGAGGCACUGUAGACGACAGAAAACGAAAGUGAAAGAAAUCAGCAAAAUAAAGAUAACAAGAAGGUGAUGCAGGAAGCUGCUGGAAGGGACCGUGUUGCAAAGCCUCCCCCAGGGACGAGAAGAAGAGGGAGGAGAUGAGCCGGGGAGAAGCAGAAGUAUAGAAGAACUGGGACUGAAGGGCUGACAAACCUGAUGCUUCUUCACACACAGAACAGGAAGAGAGUCAUGCUGCUCUUCAGCUACAGGAAAUAACCUCUGUGCUGAUGACGCAGGUCUCAGGGGAAUGUUCAGCAAGUUCUGUAGGUCUGAAGCAUACUGUACGCUCUGUAACUGCAUGAGUGUACACACACACACACACACACACACACACACUCUCACAUACUCAGCCACAUAUUUCUUUGAGUGCUGUUUUGUAGGUUUGGGUUCAUCACUAAAUUGUCAAAAGCAGCUACAAUAUCUCACUGUCUUUCUCUCCCUCAGCACCAGCUUACACACAUGCACACAAACUAGAUUAAAAGACGUAAAUCUGUAAAGCUGCCACUAGACGAUAUGUCUGUGCAAAGAGAUUUCCCCCCCGCAACACGUACAGCGGUCUGCCUAAUUAGAGCUGAGCACAUCUGUGGGCAAGGGAGUCUGCCUCUGCACAUGGAGGGGGGAUUUGGCCGAGAGCAUUCAUUCACUGGGCUGUCUGGUGGGGAAGACAAUGGAGAGGAGUGCCGAUUGGAUGUCUUGUUCCAAACUGUGCCGAGCGCUUUUCCCCAGCACAGAGGAAAGAGAAGAAUAAUGCCAGUUGAAUGUCCCAUAGAGAUGGAUUUAUUGAGACUAUUGGUAUUGGAAAAUCCGGUUAGGGACUUAAUCAAAACAGAGCGGCAGCAGGGAGAGACUGAGCUGAGCCGGUAGACCAGGCAAAACUGAUUCCAGCCCUGCCUCUCCUGUCCUUUACCUGUCCUCCGGGUAGGUCCACUGCAGUCGUUUGUCCUUUGUCUAAACCGUUACAUGAAAGGACGUCUGUCCUCUAGGACAACCCCUCGCUCAUUUGUGAGUCUGCCCUCAUGCAGAAUAUGUGAAUGCUUUAUAUGUCUGUGGUCCUCCUAGUCUCUUAACCUAGCGUAAACCGUUGCUGUGAUCUACAUUUCCAACCCGGGGUACUUGUAGGCAGAGGUGGGUAGUAACGAGUUACAUUUACUCCGUUACAUUUACU